rnacentral:rRNA from 1 species
AGUUUGAUCCUGGCUCAGAUUGAACGCUGGCGGCAUGCCUUACACAUGCAAGUCGAACGGCAGCACGGGAGCAAUCCUGGUGGCGAGUGGCGAACGGGUGAGUAAUAUAUCGGAACGUGCCCAGUCGUGGGGGAUAACGUAGAGAAAUUUACGCUAAUACCGCAUACGAUCUAAGGAUGAAAGCGGGGGACCGUAAGGCCUCGCGCGAUUGGAGCGGCUGAUAUCAGAUUAGGUUGUUGGUGAGGUAAAAGCUCACCAAGCCGACGAUCUGUAGCUGGUUUGAGAGAACGACCAGCCACACUGGGACUGAGACACGGCCCAGACUCCUACGGGAGGCAGCAGUGGGGAAUUUUGGACAAUGGGCGAAAGCCUGAUCCAGCAAUGCCGCGUGCAGGAAGAAGGCCUUCGGGUUGUAAACUGCUUUUGUACGGAACGAAAAGGUCUGCCCUAAUACGGCGGGCCCAUGACGGUACCGUAAGAAUAAGCACCGGCUAACUACGUG